AAAGUACUCCCUCCAUCCCAAAACUCUUGUCUUGGAUUUGUCUAGAUACAGAUGUAUCAAGUCACAUUUUAGUAUUAUAUACAUCCGUAUCUAGACAAAUCUAAGACAAGAAAUUUGGGACAGAGGGAGUAGUUG
rnacentral:pre_miRNA from 1 species